rnacentral:rRNA from 1 species
GAUGAACGCUAGCUACAGGCUUAACACAUGCAAGUCGAGGGGCAGCAUGGAACUUAGCUUGCUAAGUUUCGAUGGCGACCGGCGCACGGGUGAGUAACACGUAUCCAACCUACCGUUUACUACGGGAUAGCCUUCUGAAAAGGAGAUUAAUACCGUAUGGCAUUCUAAAGUUUCAUGACAUUAGAAUUAAAGGUUUACCGGUAAUCGAUGGGGAUGCGUUCCAUUAGAUAGUAGGCGGGGUAACGGCCCACCUAGUCAGCGAUGGAUAGGGGUUCUGAGAGGAAGGUCCCCCACAUUGGAACUGAGACACGGUCCAAACUCCUACGGGAGGCAGCAGUGAGGAAUAUUGGUCAAUGGACGAGAGUCUGAACCAGCCAAGUAGCGUGAAGGAUGACUGCCCUAUGGGUUGUAAACUUCUUUUAUAAAGGAAUAAAGUGGUCCACGUGUGGAUUUUUGUAUGUACUUUAUGAAUAAGGAUCGGCUAACUCCGUG